GAAAGCGGACUAAUCUUAAAUUGAAACAUGAAUUAUCAUAAAUACUCUUGCUAGUGUUUGUUUUAUGUCAAACCAUAUUUUGAAAUUGACAUCAAAUUUUAUGAAUUAAUUUAUGUUGGCUAAAUGAUAUGAAAAAGGCGGAUUUUGGAGCAAAAAUGCUAAACAGUAAGUUAUAUGAGAGAAAAUAACCCUCUAAUUAGUGACUCCGUAUCACUAUCAAGUCUUCGUGGCCUAAAAGAGAAGACGACCGGUACAAUCGUGUAUAUAAGGUAGGGACAUGAUCCCAUUUCUAUAGAAAUUUUGGGGCUUCUGAUCAAAAUACCGCGACAAUUGGUUUUGGCAGUCCUCUCAUGAUGUUAACCUGACACUGCCUAAAGAAUUCUGAAGAGAUCGAAACAGGUGGAAAUCUGCGAUGGUGGAAGUCUGAAGGUGCAAUGUCAGGACUAUACGACGGAUGCAUUAACUCUUUCCAGCCAAGCUCUCUUAAUUUUUGCUGAGUGACUAAACAUGUGUGAGGUCAUGCGUUAUCAUGAUGAAAAACCACACCCCUUGUGUUGAUUAAUUCCGGCCGCUUUCUCUCCACUUCUUGCUUUAAACUUAUCAGUUGUUCGCAGUAGAGCUCAGAAUCGAUGGUCCUGCCUGGUGGUAACAGCUCACAUUGAAUAAUGCUUGCCCAAUUCCACCACACACACAGCAUCACCUUGUUGCGAGUUAACACGGGCUUCGCCAGUCUGUGAAGCCUGACCUGCCUUUGACCACGAUCUUUUUCGCACGUUCAUGUCGUACGUGAUCCACUUUUCAUCACCAGUAAUCAGCUUCUUCAAAAAUGGUUCGGUUUCAUUACGUCGUAAUAAAGAAUUACAAAUGUGUACACGGUUCAUCAGAUUUCUUUCAGUGAGCUCGUGAGGUGCCCAAAUAUCGAGCUUUUUUGUGUACCCAGUUUUUUUCAAAUGCGCUAAAACUCUUUUGUGGUCAAUUCCCAGUUCUUUAGCUACGUCGUAAGUACUGAUAUGCCGAUCUUGCUCCACUUUUAAAAAAAUGGCAUCCAUUUUAUCCUUAAUAGGGCGACCAGAGCGACGUGCAUCUUUGAUAUUAAAAUUUCCGGAUUGAAAACACUUAAACCGAAUUUGUGCUACUUUCACAGACACUGCACUAAGUCUAUAAACAUCGCAUUCUUUUUUACCUUUUUUGUAGUAAAAUUUUAAAAUGUAUCGAAUUUCUUCAUUAGAUUCACUCAUCUUAACAGUAUGAAAAAUGAAUAAAAAUCACACAUUUUCCUAAUUUGAA